GGCAGGUCUCAGGUGACAUACCCCUGAAUUGGGCUCUAUCCGCUCUGGUUCUAGGUGUGUCACCUGAGAACCGCA
rfam:Myotis lucifugus cont2.54126, whole genome shotgun sequence.